rnacentral:rRNA from 1 species
CUCUUUUUGAUAAUAAUUUAAAGUAGGGCCUGCCCACUGAAUAUAAUUUGAAGGGCCGCAGUAUUUUGACUGUGCAAAGGUAGCAUAAUCAUUAGUUUUUUAAUUGAAAGCUUGUAUGAAUGGUUUGAUGAGAAAAUUUCUUUCUAUAUUUAAUUUUUAAAUAAUUUUAUUUUUAAGUUAAAAAGCUUAAAUAUUAAUAAAAGACGAGAAGACCCUAUAGAGUUUAAUAUAAUUUAAUAUUUAAAAAUUUAGAAUUUAUUAUUUUAUAAUAUUAUCUUGUAUUUGAUUGGGGUGAUUAAAAAAUUAAAAUAACUUUUUUUAAAAAAAAACAUUAAUUUAUGAGUAUUUGAUCCAUAUAAAUGAUUAAAAGAAUAAAUUACCUUAGGGAUAACAGCGUUAUUUUUUUUUAGAGUUCUUAUCGAAAAAAGAGAUUGCGA